AACGAACGCUGGCGGCAUGCCUAACACAUGCAAGUCGAACGAGACCUUCGGGUCUAGUGGCGCACGGGUGCGUAACGCGUGGUAACCUGCCCUUAGGUUCGGAAUAACUCCCCGAAAGGGGUGCUAAUACCGGAUAAUGUCUUCGGACCAAAGAUUUAUCGCCGUUGGAUGGGCGCGCGUUGGAUUAGCUAGUUGGUAGGGUAAAAGCCUACCAAGGCGACGAUCCAUAGCUGGUCUGAGAGGAUGAUCAGCCACACUGGGACUGAGACACGGCCCAGACUCCUACGGGAGGCAGCAGUGGGGAAUAUUGGAGGAUGGGCGAAGGCCUGAUCCAGCAAUGCCGCGUGAGUGAUGAAGGCCUUAGGGUUGUAAAGCUCUUUUACCCGGGAUGAUAAUGACGGUACCGGGAGAAUAAGCUCCGGCUAACUCCGUG
rnacentral:rRNA from 1 species